CGAUGCUGUUCAGAGUGAGAGGGCCUGGAGAGGGUGGGGAGGGAAGGUGAAGGUGUUUCUGGCCUCCAGUGUGGGAGGAGGUGGGAGAAAGAAGUACUGAGGGAUUCCGGGGCGCUGGCUCUGAAAUCUGGGCCAGGUUUGUUUACCUUACUGUUAACCCAACUCUGCGUGGUAGGGUUUGUCCCUGGCGUCAAAGGCAGGAACAGUUGAACCCCUAGGUUUACCCUUGACGGUAAGAGCCCAAAAGUGGGCGUUUCAGUUUUCCUGCGUCAGGGAGCCUGUGAGGCUUUGCCCUUUGACCUUUGACAUCGGUGCAGCUUCUGCUUCUUCAGAUACGGAAAACAGGAAUAAGAGAGAUUGGCCAUUCAUGACAAUUCAGAGAAAUGCUAGCUCAGAUAAUCUGUUAUUCUGUAUGAAAAACGGGAUGAGAAGAAUCAAGUAUAAGCCAGUAGACUAUCAACAGUUACAUGCAUUAACUGAAGCAAAGAAAUUAGCUUCUGCUUCUAUAGAGCAAAAGAUCAGAAAAGCAGUGGAGACUUCAAAAAUAUCCAAAGAACAAAUGCUAAUCAAACAACACAAACAAGUGUGGUGGCUAGAACACCAACGACUAAAUGAACUCAAAUGUAAAUUGGAUUCUGAAAUAAAAUCUUUUCUCAAUGAAGAGCACAUUGGAAACAAGUGUCUUUGUGAACUUAGGAAUUUUGAACAAGAGUUAUCAGAACAAUGGAGUAUGUAUCUUAAAGACGUGAUAGAUCCUAUUCAUCAGCUGAGAGCAGAUCUAAAGUACCGACAGCAUCACACCUUACAGCAUUCACGCCAUCAUAUGGAGUUUAACUCAGGCCCAGUACUGAAAGAAGUCAGUAUGAUACAUUUAUUUUUGAUAAUGUAAUAUGAAAACAGUUUGAGAUAAGAAACAAACAUAUGUGUCUUGUGUAUUUAAAGAGAUGCUCAUUC
rnacentral:lncRNA from 1 species